ACACAUGCAAGUCGAACGGAAAGGCCCCUUUCGCGGGGUACUCGAGUGGCGAACGGGUGAGUAACACGUGGGUGAUCUGCCCUGCACUUCGGGAUAAGCUUGGGAAACUGGGUCUAAUACCGGAUAGGACCACAUGUCGCAUGGUGUGUGGUGGAAAGCUUUUGCGGUGUGGGAUGGGCCCGCGGCCUAUCAGCUUGUUGGUGGGGUGAUGGCCUACCAAGGCGACGACGGGUAGCCGGCCUGAGAGGGUGUCCGGCCACACUGGGACUGAGAUACGGCCCAGACUCCUACGGGAGGCAGCAGUGGGGAAUAUUGCACAAUGGGCGCAAGCCUGAUGCAGCGACGCCGCGUGGGGGAUGACGGCCUUCGGGUUGUAAACCUCUUUCACCAUCGACGAAGCUGCGGGUUUUCUCGUGGUGACGGUAGGUGGAGAAGAAGCACCGGCCAACUACGUGCCAGCAGCCGCGGUAAUACGUAGGGUGCGAGCGUUGUCCGGAAUUACUGGGCGUAAAGAGCUCGUAGGUGGUUUGUCGCGUUGUUCGUGGAAUGCCACAGCUUAACUGGUGGGCGGUGCCG
rnacentral:rRNA from 1 species